UUAAGAAGCAGCCGUUCGUAUACUGGGC
rnacentral:sRNA from 1 species